GACAGCAGUAGCCGCGGGAAAACGGAGGGAGCUAGCGUUGUUCGGAAUUACUGGGCGUAAAGCGCGCGUAGGCGGUUACUCAAGUCAGAGGUGAAAGCCCGGGGCUCAACCCCGGAGCUGCCAUUGAAACUAGGCGACUAGAAUCUUGGAGAGGUCAGUGGAAUUCCGAGUGUAGAGGUGAAAUUCGUAGAUAUUCGGAAGAACACCAGUGGCGAAGGGGACUGACUGGACAAGUAUUGACGCUGAGGUGCGAAAGCGUGGGGAGCAAACAGGAUUAGAUACCCCCGUAGUCCCUGUCUCUUAUAC
rnacentral:rRNA from 1 species